UUCUUAUUUUAUCACUAUCUAGGGUUCAUCAUUCGUACGAAUACUCUAAUCUUCAAUGUGAUUCUCAUCGUUUUCGUGUGAAUUUACAGAAUUCUUUCGCAGUGCGAUGCGCUGUUUCAAAAUGAGAUCUUAUAACCGCACUCAGGUUACUCUGCAAUUCUCAAGGUUAGGGUUUCAGAAUCAAGGCGAUAGAUGAGAAUAUUGAACGAUUAUUGUUGAUUUUGAUUUCUUGUUCAAGGCUAGUGGUUUCGUCUGGUCUGUACUAGUUUAGGAAGGAUGGAAGAUAUGGUGUUACAUGAUAUCUGCUUUUGGAUGACGAGCUGCGGGCUGAGAUUAAGAUGUUUGGGAAACCUAAGGGCUCUGUGA
rnacentral:lncRNA from 1 species